rnacentral:pre_miRNA from 1 species
AAUGGAAUUGCUAGGUCAUAUGGUAAUUCUGUGUCUAAUUUUUUGAGCAAUUGCCAAAUUGUUUUCCACAGUGGCUGCACCAUUUUACAUUCCCACCAGCAGU